rnacentral:rRNA from 1 species
UCGGGAAUAUUGGACAAUGGGGGAAACCCUGAUCCAGCCAUGCCGCGUGAGUGAUGAAGGCCUUAGGGUUGUAAAGCUCUUUCGCUGGGGAAGAUAAUGACGGUACCCAGUAAAGAAGCCCCGGCUAACUUCGUGCCAGCAGCCGCGGUAAUACGAAGGGGGCUAGCGUUGUUCGGAAUUACUGGGCGUAAAGCGCACGUAGGCGGGUCGUUAAGUCAGGGGUGAAAUCCCGGAGCUCAACUCCGGAACUGCCUUUGAUACUGGCGAUCUUGAGUUCGAGAGAGGUGAGUGGAAUUCCGAGUGUAGAGGUGAAAUUCGUAGAUAUUCGGAGGAACACCAGUGGCGAAGGCGGCUCACUGGCUCGAUACUGACGCUGAGGUGCGAAAGCGUGGGGAGCAAACAGGAUUAGAUACCCCCGUAGUCC